rnacentral:lncRNA from 1 species
AGGCUCCAAAAGCUUGUUACUUGCUUGUAGUCAAACAGAAGGCAGAGCUGCGAAUCAAAUCCAGGUUUGUCUCGACAUGCCACUAGCUCAUACUUCCCUUGGAUCAGCCACUAAAUGGCUUUCACUCCAGUGAGCAGCGACCAGCACUCCUGGGGACAUCAGGGCACUCACGCUCCUUAACACUGGACAGGAGACCUGCGCAGUCAUUCUAGCACCAGAAUUAUGGAACAUUUAUCAACAGCCUAAAAUAAAGACAACACGAGGAGAAUUUGGUUGCUUAUAUAGAUUCAAGGUACAAUCCUGCUGGAUUCUGGAAGAAAUAUCACAGUGUGCAUGCACAGAAGUACGACCAUGUGAAGAGGUAGCAAGAGAGCAGCAAUCUACAAGCCAAGGAAAGAGGCCACAGAGGAAACCAACCCUGCCAGCAUCUUGAUCUUGGACUUCCAGCUUCCAGAACUAACCAGGGACCCCACUCCCAUGCCGACAGUAUGGGCUGCUGUCUUCAGGACCAUUGCAAGUGUCCUUCACGGUUCGGUUCACAUUUCACAAGCCCCAUGAAGUCUAUCUGGAUUUUCGAUGGAUGUCUUGCCUUUUCCUCUACACACUACAGGAAGAGUGGCCACCCCUGCCAAGGGCCUAGUAUAGUACCCUAUACAUGUAGCUGAUCAGUUGAUUGUUACUGAUCAUAUGUAUCCUGCAUCAUGUUAUAAAAAAUUAACACAGUGCUUGGCACAUA